GCUGGGCAUAGUGGCUCAUGCUUGUAAUCCCAGUGGCUUAGGAGGCUGAGAGAGGAGGAUCACAAGUUGAAGGCCAGACUCAGCAAUUUAACAAUGCCCUAAGCAACUUAGUGAGACCCUGUCUCAA
rnacentral:sRNA from 1 species